rnacentral:rRNA from 1 species
CGCGGCCUAUCAGCUUGUUGGUGGGGUAAUGGCCUACCAAGGCGACGACGGGUAGCCGGCCUGAGAGGGCGACCGGCCACACUGGGACUGAGACACGGCCCAGACUCCUACGGGAGGCAGCAGUGGGGAAUAUUGCACAAUGGGCGAAAGCCUGAUGCAGCGACGCCGCGUGAGGGAUGACGGCCUUCGGGUUGUAAACCUCUUUCAGCAGGGAAGAAGCGAAAGUGACGGUACCUGCAGAAGAAGCGCCGGCUAACUACGUGCCAGCAGCCGCGGUAAUACGUAGGGCGCAAGCGUUGUCCGGAAUUAUUGGGCGUAAAGAGCUCGUAGGCGGCUUGUCGCGUCGGAUGUGAAAGCCCGGGGUUUAACCCCGGGUCUGCAUUCGAUACGGGCAGGCUAGAGUUCGGUAGGGGAGAUCGGAAUUCCUGGUGUAGCGGUGAAAUGCGCAGAUAUCAGGAGGAACACCGGUGGCGAAGGCGGAUCUCUGGGCCGAUACUGACGCUGAGGAGCGAAAGCGUGGGGAGCGAACAGGAUUAGAUACCCUGGUAGUCCACGCCGUAAACGGUGGGAACUAGGUGUUGGCGACAUUCCACGUCGUCGGUGCCGCAGCUAACGCAUUAAGUUCCCCGCCUGGGGAGUACGG